UGGAAAAGCAGAGCUGCCCUACCCUGAGUU
rnacentral:piRNA from 1 species